UCAGCUGGCUGGUUACUUUGUAGUGGAGUCCAUGAUUACCCAUCAUGCAUCUGUGCAUUGAAACGACCAAGUUACAAGAAUAAACAAGAAAUUUGUGGGUAGUCUGGGUACAUUUUUAAAGUAGUCAAGUACAGGUAUGAGGUAAAAGUUUAUUUAGCAGCAGACCUUCAUGUUUGGAGGUUUUAUCUUGUUCUGAAAGUAAAAAUAAAACCGCUAAGGAGAAGUGGGCGGACCAGAGGGCUAUAAAGACUGCUGUGAGACAGUGUGCUAGUGUCCUAGUUCUCUAGGACAUAUACUAAAAUUGGAACGAUACAGAGAAGAUUAGCAUGGCCCCUGCGCAAGGAUGACACGCAAAUUCGUGAAGCGUUCCUCAUUUUCUCCUUCGCCAGAAGAAAAAAAUCUGUGGAAAAAAUCCCGGUGUUCUGUCAGAUAGCCACACAUGUCAGAACAGCCUACAUAUUGUGCAUGCGCAUUCUGCAGGAGGUCUGUGAUAUUGAGUGGUGCAGCUCGUCGUACGCGAGAAGAGAAAACAAAACCCAAUUAAAAGUAAGUAAAUAAAUCAUAUUUAAUGCUGCUGCAGCUGCAGUAAACUACAAAACGCGCCCUGUUUAAAUUCAAGUUCCCCAGUUCAUUGAUAUUUUUGGGUUGGAUAACACGUCUGCUAGCUUGGAUACAGUGAUGGCUUUCCAGGUAGGACUUCGACACAUAGGUUUAUUAGGAUUUCUUCUAAUUCUUAAAUGUUGAAUUUGAAUGGUCUGUGUAUUUUUUUAACUUUCCUUAUCCCCCCCCCCCCACCCUCCCAGACUGUACAGGCAGAAACCGUAUCGGUAUGAAAACACAUUUCUUUACCCACACUGAAACUGGGGCAAAACCAGUGUUUUACUUUUGAAACAAAUCCUUAUCUUUAUUAAUGUAUAUGAAAAGCAUUCAUGUUAAGUUAGUUUUUAUAUGUGCUUUACAUUUACAUAUAUUAAGAUUUUGCAAAUUGAGGUUGCUUUUGGAACAUGAAGGCUUUUCUGGUUAACAGAUCUCAUACCCGAGUACAACCCCCUGGGUUAUGUAGCCAACAGUCACUAUCAGUGUGACUGUUGCUUCAAUUAAAAGACAGAAGAUGUUGUUGAGUCACUUGAAGUCCCUGUGUCCACCGUGCGUUGCCAGGAAGGACAUGGCGUCCACCAGUGUUGUCAAUAAAAAUUGGGAUCUGUCAAUUGCAUUUAAACUCGCUGUUGUGUUUUCUGCAGUAUUUCAAGAAUUGCAUUGUUGGAUGCACAUGCAUAAACACGUAGAUUAGAAGGUUUCUUGUAUUACAUUGGAAUUAAAAAGGGUGAAUAUUAAGAAGCUUUCACUACAAACUUUAUUUUGUUUAGUUUUGUAUUUCUUGUCUUAAAAGCCAAUAUUUCGCAGAAAUGUCAUUGUUGCAGCACCAGUUGGCGUGUUUAGUAGCAGGAGUAGGUGUGUUGUCUAAUGAAUUGUCUUGUUUAAAUGCCUGUUGAUGCAAUUUACAUGUUUUUCUUGUGUCAUUUAUAGCAAACAUGGAGUUCAAAUGGGGUGAGGUCUUCAAUUUUAUUUCUGAAGGACAGAGGCAAACUUUGGGGAGGUAUGCCGUAAAAUUUAGCAUCCAUGGUAAGUUUUUUAUAUCUUAAAUAAACAUAAAAUUUUUGACAACAAUAUUGACAUAAUGUGGUCAUUGUUUUAAUACAGCUGGGGACCUAUUCUACGGAGCCUUACCCGAAAGAAGGGCUGUACGGUCCAAAGAAGAGGCCUGGAACUUCUUCAAGGAGUUUCAUGCAUCCCCCAUGGGAGGACAACUGGCAUCGUCAAAACAAGCAGUGCCAUGUGUUCCCGAUUCUAUUGGCCCGGUAUGACAGCAGACAUUAAGAAAUGGGUGUCUCAAUGUGACCGGUGCCAAAGAGUUGGACAUCCCCUCCAAGUUGUCAGGGAACUUGAGUGCAUAAAGGUAACCAUCCACAGUGAUUCCUGAAGUUUACCACCUCUAGGACAUUGUUGCUCAUAACAUUGUAAUCAUCCCCAUUAGGUGUCAGGGGUUUGGGAGCUGAUUGGAAUUGAUCUGACAGGUCCCUUGCCCCUGACAUCUUGUGGUAAUCAGUGUAUCCUGACAGCUACAGAUUAUUUCUCUAAAUGGGUGGAGGCUUUCCCCCUCAAGACUAAGACCGCUGAGGAAGUCUGUCAAAAAUUAUGUUCUAUAUUUUACCGGCACGGCUGUCGAGAAUUUGUGAACACAAUGAAUAGUAGACUCUGAUCUACUUUCAGUACAGAGAAGAAUCACUGCAGCCUAUCAUCCUCAAACCAACGGCUUGGAUGAAAAGACAAAUGACAGCAUUAAGCGGUAAGAAAGUUAUUAGAAAAAUUAAAUGUUUUUUGUUUUGUUUUAUAUUUUUUAAGUUGCUUUUCAUUGCAACAUGUUUCUGUAGGUUUAUAUCAAUGUACAGCUUGUUAUAGCUAUGUCAUACCAUAAGAAAUGCAACACAUAAGCAACUCUUACAAAUUGGAGUAUGUUCUUAGGACAUGUGUGAAACUGUUCUUCUAGGGCACUGAGAAAACUUAUCAACGACAAGGAAGAUGACUGGGACAUGUUCCUUAACUUUGUUUUCCUUAAGGUCGAAAACCCACACCACCACAAAAUACUCGCCAUUUUUUCUGAUGUAUGGCAGAGAGGCAAGGUUUCCUUCUGAAGUUCCUGUUGACAUGCCGGUACAAUUCUGCUACAUUAUAUGAGUUUACAAACUCAUGUAGUGUUUUUGCAUGGAAAUUUAUGUGUAUUAAGGUUUCAAGUUUUUACAUCAUGUUAAAAUGUCAGUACUUCCUCUAAAACAUACCUGCAUUAGCCAACACUAACACUACAGUCUUCCAGAUUAGUAGGAAUGAGUAAUCGGAAAAUAACAGGUGAGACUGAGUUAUCCCACAGUCUACCUCUCAGUGACAAAUAGUUAUAAAGGCUGAAGUGAAAAAUGUUGGAUAGACUGAUGAAGCACACAAAAUCUUCUGUAGAUUGGAGGACGAAUCAGGGAGAUAUUGCUGUUGAAACAGUCCAGGGGGCGCUGUGGAGUCAAACUCCAACAGAAGCGUGUCAACAUCAUUCAGAUCCACUUUUUUCUGUCACCAGAUGUAGUUUGAAAUUUCUGUGUCAGAGUGUAAAGAACAAUGUCAUCAGCAAAAUAGUUGACUGCCAAGGCAUUUGGGGGCGGGGCUAAGGUGAUGUCACCAACUGGCCAUGUGACCGUGAUGAGCGCUGCUCUGACAGAAAUUUUCAUAGAGCUGGGAGCUUGUUUGUGGGAGUUAUUUCACCGUGUUUCAUGGCAAAUAGUCCGAUUUUGAGUCUUGGAAAUGCCCACAUGCUUCAUUGCAGAAGAAAGCUUUUGAUAGCUUUUCAUCUCCAACACCUCCAGAGUGUGCUGAGUAAUUCUACAAUCUGCAUGUCAAAACUUGUAAUACGAGUUUGCUAAGAUACAUAUGUAAAAGAGACAGAUGGUGAGUUUGAUCCUGGGAUCCCGGCCUGGGCUCCUGGAUUUGGUUGGCCCUCAUGGAUCCCUGUACUCUGUCCUUGGGAUCCAUGAGGCCACCAAUUACCAGAGUGAGUUGGACCGGAGGAAGCUGACCCUCCACAAGACAUUGGUGGAUACCCUUGGAGACUCAAGCAAAAUUACUUUUGUCCAACUGUAUGUGGACUCCCCUCACGUCCACAUACAGAUGCCUUACAGGCAUCCAGUCAGCAGGGCACUGGUUACCUGUCGGUAAUCUCACCCUCAAUUCCAGCGGGCCUGAUGUUCACAUUGCUCACAUGUACUACCCCAAGGAUAAGAUGGAGCUCCAGCUUGCCCUUAGGCUCGAGCAGGUCCGCCGAUUUGAGGGUGAGAUACCGUCAGAACUUGUCCCAAGGAGGUUCUUUUGCAUCUCUGCAUUAAGAAUGCACUUUGUGGACAAUGCUCUAGUCAUCCCGUUUGAGGACAGCGGGAGGGACAGUGGUCUGAUGGUCGCUCUUCGGAUGGUCUUCCAGUACUUUGUGGAGUCACUUGAGGGACUGUACUCCAGCAAUGAGGGGGUGACGAGGUAUGACGCCUGCUGGAAGUCAUACCAGUUUGAGCUGGCUUUAGAGGAGCUCUUUUAUGUGCGUACUCUAUCACCGUCUGACUUCCAGCUCAGCGUCAGCCUCGGGACCAACACGGUCAACCUGACCCACAGGAGGGGCUUUAUCGGGUUGGCCCCUCACUCGGCAGCAAGUGCUGGUGAGGUCCCACCCCCUCUGCACCAUUGGACAUGCAAUGCACUCCAGACAGUUCAUCUGGAGCGCAUUUUCCCUGUGUGCCAGGUGUUGGAGGCAGUCCCAGCUGUUCUUGGUGCUGCGCUCAUCCACCUGUUGCUUUGACAUCUUAAGGAGGAAUGAAAUCCCCUGGGAGACUCAGCGGGAGCAUCAACCUGGAGGUGUUCGCAGAUGACCUAAGCACCAAGAACAGCUUCCCUGUGCCCCUCACAUCUGGCACAUUUGGUCCAGACCGGCAGAGAUCCCCAUAAGUGCCUUUUGGUGGGCUCUCCAAGGUUGCCACGGCAACACUGCAGGUGUGCACAGAGGUGGAGCGGCAGUCAUUGAGCUACUCCAGGAACCUGGAGAAGUACCGUGACCAUGUGAUGCCAUGGAUGGUCAAGGUGCUUCAAAGGGUUCCGGAGAAAGUAGAUGCUGCCCUCCGCCUCAAAGUACUCACCUUUGCUAGCGCAAUAGGGAUGAUCAUGAACGUGCACUAUGUUGAUUAAAAACAUCUCCAAAGUCUCCUUUAUGAAAUGACUCCCAUAAGCUAGGCAAUUCUCCAGAGGUGGGAAAUCCUCUCAGAGUUCAACCUCCCGAGGGUUUUCAACUUCAUGGUGUAGAAACGCCAUGAAGAUAUUACUCACCAGCUGCAGGUGCCAGCAAAACCCAAAUUCAAGGCACCACAAGAGGCACCUAACGAGCAGCCGUACAAGGAUGUCCAAGAAGUUGAGGACCAAGACGACAUUCCACUUUCAAGUGUUCUUCUUGAAAUUUUUCAUAGGUUCGUGUGUUAUUUUCAUUCAUAAAACUUAAAAAUAAAAUCCCUCACAUGGACUUUGCCUUGACAUGGUUUGAGGGCUUAAGUGUCUACUUCAGACACAACCAAAGAGUCCAAGGUUAGGAUGAGAGGUUUGAGCCUGUCCUCGAGAUGGGACAGGAAAUGCACGGUCCAUCCAUCCGUCCCAUCUCGUCUUCUGUGGACAAGAGGGUUCAGUUUGUUUCCCCUCCUAUGCAUCACCAGAGUCCAACCAUCCUGUCGUUCCAUUGUUUUUGUUUUUAAUAAUCCUUUCAGCUUUAUUUCUUAAUCAAUAAUGUGUUAUAGGUGCUAUUUAUGAAUUGUGUGUAUAUG